GAACCUCGAUAGGACUCGAACCUGUGCCUCCGACGAAUUAGCCGGCGUGCUACACGCUACACUACAAGGUU